GACGAACGCUGGCGGCGUGCUUAACACAUGCAAGUCGAACGGAAAGGCCCUGCUUUUGUGGGGUGCUCGAGUGGUGAACGGGUGAGUAACACGUGAGUAACCUGCCCUUGACUUUGGGAUAACUUCAGGAAACUGGGGCUAAUACCGGAUAGGAGCUCCUGCUGCAUGGUGGGGGUUGGAAAGUUUCGGCGGUUGGGGAUGGACUCGCGGCUUAUCAGCUUGUUGGUGGGGUAGUGGCUUACCAAGGCUUUGACGGGUAGCCGGCCUGAGAGGGUGACCGGCCACAUUGGGACUGAGAUACGGCCCAGACUCCUACGGGAGGCAGCAGUGGAGAAUAUUGCACAAUGGGCGGAAGCCUGAUGCAGCAACGCCGCGUGCGGGAUGACGGCCUUCGGGUUGUAAACCGCUUUCGCCUGUGACGAAGCGUGAGUGACGGUAAUGGGUAAAGAAGCACCGGCUAACUACGUG
rnacentral:rRNA from 1 species